UACGUAGGGUGCAAGCGUUGUCCGGAAUUAUUGGGCGUAAAGAGCUCGUAGGCGGUUCGUCGCGUCGGCUGUGAAAUCCCGGAGCUCAACUCCGGGUCUGCAGUCGAUACGGGCGGACUUGAGUACUGCAGGGGAGACUGGAAUUCCUGGUGUAGCGGUGAAAUGCGCAGAUAUCAGGAGGAACACCGGUGGCGAAGGCGGGUCUCUGGGCAGUAACUGACGCUGGAGGAGCGAAAGCGUGGGGAGCGAACAGG
rnacentral:rRNA from 1 species